UUAUUCACCCAUCUUCCCCAAACAAAACCCUAAUACUAUUAGACUAUCAAGCCAUCGCCGUUUCGCAUGCCAUCAUCGACCCCUUUCGCUGUCCUACGUCACCGUUGAUGACCGAGUAGCCGACGAUCAAACCCCUUCCAUCGUACUUCGCACAUCGUCAUUGCCAUCACUUUUCCAUCAAAACGCCAUAGUUUGCAAGCCAAAGCCGCCAUCUUUCCACCGCUGUUCACACCUCUCACCGCUGAGAUUGCUCAAUUAAUCACCACCUCUUUUUAACUGACCAAAACCAUCCUAUUCUUCACCAAAAAACCACAGGUCAUCUCGUCUCCACCGCUCCUUUGUCGUGCAACACCAUCGAUCGAGUUCCUCAAUCGCCAAACCUUCACCCUUAACAACCAACACCUUUCCAAAACCCAAUCGCUACCUUUAGAACAACAAACCUCACAUUUUUUUCCCCAUUACCGCCGACCUUCAAAGUCCCCUCCCAACCUUAAAAGAACCGAUUAAAACACUCUACACAAACAAUUCCAAUGCCGUUUCAAUCAUCUGCCACCAUCCGUCAUCGCUACACAAUCAUCUUCAAUUGAUUUUUGAGCCCAAAAACGGACCAUGGUUCGUAUUAGAAACUAGUUGGUCGAUAGAUUCUCGAUUUCACUUAACCGAGGUUGAAAUCGAUUUUUAGCACCACUAGUUAUCGACCUUGACAACGAAGAUCCAGAACCACCACCACCGAUACAUGUUCCUGGACUGAUUUGACUCUGAUGCUAAAGAAGCUCGACACCGGUUGUAAUAGAAAGUCCACAAGUUCGUCCCGACACUUCUAACGACACAAGGUAUCACGUUUCAAAUUUACAACAUGUUUUACGGUUACUAACAUUUCCUACAGGUCGUUUAGACGGAGCUAACACUUCGAGUCACAAUGACGCUGAACUGUUGAACCAAAGUGAGCAACCAACUCCACGACAAACAAGGUCGGCCAUCGUUCGUGCUCGACGUACACAAUCACACCAACCUAAUAAAGAGCAAGAGUCAACCUUGAACUACAGUACUGAAGCUGCUGAUAUGUCGUGUCCCUCGGAUAGUGCAGUCUAAAACGAGUACCAAUCUUCUAGAAAUAAUAGGCACGGUUAGUGGGGCCAAACUUAUACAAUGCCACAAUAACAGAGACUUCGAGGGUCUCUAAAUUUCACAAUACCAGAACACCGUGCAAGAUACGAGGAAAUUCAACAUCGGCCAAUUCCAGUCUGUAAAUAUAACUUCCUCUUUACCCUUGAUACACUUAAUAUGCGUGAGUCGGUGUUUAAGUAUUUCAAUGUUAUUGGUUGGACAUUAUACGCUAAUAUUUACUGUGCUGCAUAUUAUGAACUCGUGUUUGAAUUUUAUGCGACAUUUAGUUUUGAUAUAACUGUAAUUAGGACUGUUGAAACCCCGAACGUAAUUAAAUUCAGGUUGCUUGAUCGUUCAUUUGCUAUGUCUAUUUCUGAUUGUAACAUAGCCAUGGGUUUCGUUGACCUUUAUGAUGUUCACUUCAACUUGUACCAUACUGCUCUACUUAAGAUACCUAGUGAUUUCGAUUCCAAUUCAACUUACUCGAUUUUGACUAAUUUAGUAUCCAGGUCUUACAAUUCUAACACCUUUAAAGCUUUGCUAAUGCAUGAACCGAUCCUAUGGUACAUUCAUAAGUUUCUCAUUUUUAAUUAUUCGGGCUGCAAUGAUUUUAUAUCUGUCUUAACUAAGACAGAACUAUUUUUCUUAUGGUGCAUGCAUUUCGAUUUUAGGGUCAAUUUAGGAUAUUGGUUUGCAUGUAGUUUUCAUGCUGUAAUUUGGGCUCGUCGUCUUCUCAUACUCAGCCAUUACGUCACACAUUUAGCUACAAAAAUUCUUCCAUCUAGGGUUGAUUUUUCCUCGCUAACAUAUGUUUAUAAUAUGGAUCCUUUGGAUGAAUAUUGUUUGGUUUCUAUGGGUUUUACUUGUCGGCACACCUACUGCAUUUUAUUUUGUUCCCCCAGGUACACGAACCGCUCGAAGCAAUAAAGUCUUUCGAUGAGGUGGCGAUACGACUACUAGAGAACAAAAGGAGCAACACCCUUCCGCAGUGGACGAACAACUUCAUCGCAUUGAGGCUCGCCUAGAAAUAAUUGAAGCCAACAUCUCAAGCAUCCUCAUCAUACUGUAAAAUGGUCAUUUCCACCAUCCUCCGACCCAUUAAAUAUAUACAGGGAGUACAUUUUACCUCAACUUUUGUUAUUCUUUUUGCACAUUAUGGGCAAUGUGGGCUAAGUAGGGGGGACAUGCCAUGUUAUUUCUUCUUUGCAUGUGUUUCACUAAAUAAUUCUUUAAUUCCUUUCGAAAAUAAACCUCUAAUUCUUAUGCUUAGUUUAUUUAAAUAAUAGGGGUGAAUCAUGAAUAACUACUGCUUACUUGAUCAAUAAAUAUUUUGUAGAAUUGAAAAUGUUAUUGCUUAGUCAAUAUUUCAUAUAAAUUGUUGGCUCUUUUGAACUUGCCUAAUGAAAGUACUCAUUUUAAUAAAUAAAUAAAUAAGUAAUUUGUUAAUGGCUUCAUUAAGAGUGAAGGAUAAAAAAUGUGACCAAAUUGAGUAAUUGGGGUGAGGUGCUUGGGUUGUCAUCUCAUUUCGCGUCAAAAGAUUUGGUGACGAACCAAAACUUGUAACACUCUGCUAAUUGAGCUUCCUUAAGAAAAGAGAAAUAAAUUCAUUAGGGACAUGCCAAGUUGAGUAACCAGAGUGAGGUGUUUGGGUUGUCAUCUUAUUUCAUGUCAAAAGAUUUGGCUAUGUCUCGAAUUCGUAAAAAAUAAAAAAUAAAAAAUAAAAAAAUAACAUGUCGAGUUGAGUAACUGGAGUGAGGUGGUUGGGUUACCCUUCCAUUUCGCAUAAAAAGACUUGACCAUGUCACGAAUAAGUUUAAAAAAAUAUAAAUGAAAAAUUGAAAAAAUAUAUAUUGAGUACGAUUGUCUUGCAAGUUUGAUUAAACCUAAAUUUAGUGAAGUAGUUGAGUUUGACAUACUAUUCGAGAUUUUAUAAAAUGUUUAUUGAUUGAGUCUAGUAAUUAUUUAUUUUUAAUUCACCUAAUUGUUUGCUUUAUACUUGAUUGAGAAAGGGGGUUUGAUUCGAAAAGGAUUGUCAAUGAUUUUUAGUGAAUAUCAUGCUUGAGGACAAGUAUCGACUAAGUGGGGGGAAUUUGAUAGCAAGAUAAAUUUAUUUUUUUGAAUACAUUUAGUUUUGGCUAAUUAUCGAAUAAGAUGCUACUAAACUUGGGUUCUUCUUAUUAGGAAUGAAGUUUGUGGGCUGAAAUUCAAAUUCAUACAAAAGGGGGCUAAAUUGGAACAAAAGCAAUAAUGAGGGCUAGAUUGAGAGAUUGAAUAUUUAAAGUUGGUUAAAUAAAGAUUGAAGGGUUGAAGAUUAAAAAAAGUGGUUGGAUAAAGAUCAAAUUAUUUUUUAUAUUGUUAAAAUUUUGUACUUAGUUUAAAUUUGAUUUUUAAAUUUUGAUUUAUCUAGUGAUAAUGUUUAGGAAAAAUCUAACUAAGUUUUAGCAUUAGAAGUAUGUAUAAAUACUCGGUGGAUAUAACCACCGGGGAGACUUGGCCUUGAAUAUAAAAAAUUAUUGCAUUCUGCCAAUUUUUUUCCCAAUUUCAAUAAUUUGGUUAAUUUCCAUUAAAAACCACUUCCAUACUCCAUCUAGCAUGAUUUAUUUCAUGGUUAACUAAGUUCCUUUUAGCCUUAGUCCAAUUAUUGCUCUGACAAAGUAAUCGUGAGAUAUGAACCCAUACUAAAUACUUUGCAAUUCUGUAUUUGCUAUCUCUCUGGUAUAUGAGAUAGUACAAGUUCGUCCCUAAAAGUUGAUUCGAUUUCAAUUAAUAAAACACACGUUGGGUUGGAAUUGUUUGGCGUACUGUUGGGAAGUUGAGUCGGUCGUGUUGUAUUCAAAAUCCUGCGAACAAAUUGGCAUGUUCAAGUGGGAAAAGCUAGUUGGAUUCCGUCAAGGGAGAUAGUGAUCGGAUUUAAAUGACUCACACGAUUGAGGCCGUUGAUUUUAGUUGGACUUUUCAAAUUGUAAGGCUGUCGAAGUCUUAAAUUAAGGGCAUGUGUCACAUGGUUAGAAAUUCGACAAGGGUUGAUUUCUAGGUCGUACCGGAACCGACUACAAGAGGAAAAGCUGGUGGUUUGAGGCAUCCUUGCUCGCUAUAACCAACUUAUUGGUUGGAAGGAAAAAUCUUUUUUCAAGGAUCGAUUUGAGUUUGGGGUAUACCGAGGCUAAGGCUAAGCUUUAAAAUAUUUAAUUUACACAUUUAUUUUAUUUACUUAAAUUUAUUUUUGCAAUUUCGAAUUUGUUUUCAUUUUAUUACAUUACAUAUUUAUUUAUUUUAUUUACUCUAUUAACUUAAACUCCCUUUUUAUUUUUCAUCUCGAAAUGCACAGGUCGUGGGCACGACUGUAUCACGACAAUAAUUCUGGUAACGAGAAAAAAGAGAAAUUGGAUAACUAGAUCUUGUGGAUUCGACGCCCAUCAAUGUUGUGGAAUAUUUUAGUUAUUAAUCGUUUGCUUGCUUCUGGUUUAAUUGUUGAAUGUAGUACGAGAUUUGCUAAAAUAGUUCAUUUUAAAUGUCAUUUUUAGGUGCUGGAAUUGCGGUUGUUGUGUCGGCAUUAAAAAAUUUACAAGUAUGUGACUCGAUCUAAUAAAAACAGUGAACGACAGAAAGCCGAAAAACCCACUGUCUACCACAGGCCGUGUGCACCACAUAGCGUGGCACACAACCUUGUGGGGCUGGGCAGUUUCAAAAAUAGCCCGUUUCACAAUUUUCUUGAGUUUUGAGCAAUAUUUCAAGUUAGUUUCACACAUUUGAUUAUUGAUUUGACAAACCACAUGUAUGGAAUUCACGAAACCUACAUUCGUUCAAUAAAUCCUAUUAAUUAACCAAUAAAACACCCAACCACAACCACAUCCAAGAAUUGAAAUUUCAUACCCUUAAUACCAAAUUCAAACACUCACUUCUCUGAAACAACGUUUAAAACUGAGUUUUCUUUGUAGGAGGGCUUUGAUUUCUACCCGAAUUGCCUAACCAAGUACCAUAGAAACACUUAAAAAAUCAUGGAAAAUAAUCUAGCAUCAAAACUAUAAUCUCGUUCAAGAACAAAAUAAGGCUACAAUAACAGAAAAAUGCAUUGACAGAACUUACCCUACACUUACCAAAAGGUCGAAAAACAAAUUGCACACACGUACACCGAAAAUGAAAGGAACGGCAACAACAAAAUCAAUGGAAAAGAAACAAGAAUCGAAAACUCACGAAAGCAAAAGAAGAAAAGAAGGAAGCAAGAAACAAAAAAGUGGAAAACGUGAAAAAGGGUUGAGAAUGAUGAACGGAUAAAGGGGUGAGUGAAAGUAGGGAUUUUUGAUAAAUUAAAAAUUAAAAAUUAAAAUAAAAAACUGAGAAUCUUUCCUAAUCCAAAUCCUAACCCACAGAUUUAAUAGUAUUUAAAUUAAACUUAAUCACCAUGCGAAAUUGUCUUUUGGGAUAAUUCCAUGGCAACUUCUCCAUUAUUUGGAAGUUUGUAAUUGAGUCCUUGAAGUUGUAUUUUUUAUUCUGAUAAUUUUGUCCUCAAUGUAAGUCAUGGUUUAUUUUUAAAGUACAUUAGACGCAUUCUAUAUGGUUUCCGAUCUUGAUAUUAAUGCUCUACCAUGUUUGUUGUGAGUAUAGUUUGAGAUACACGUCUGACUUUUGUUUGACUUCUUUGUUGAAAAUGCUUUAUUAUCCGAAAAUCUUUUGAAAUUCUUGUCGCCUACAAUCUGAGUGCUUUGCGUUCUUCAGCGGCAGAAUGCGCUGGUAUAAAAAGAGAAACAUGGAAUAAAAAGUUUUUGCGGAAUUUUUUAUAUUUUAUAUUUUUAUUAUUAUUACUUUUUAAAAUUUUGAUUCUAAUCUUCUGCGUUUCAAUUAAAUUUUGAAAAUUGGUUUUUAAAAAUAAAAAAAUGCUUUUUUUUUAAAAAAAAUCUCAAUUUUUAAUUUUAGAUUUUUAAAAAGAAAACUCAAAAACUUUGAAAUUGCAAAGUGUCCAUCAAGUCUCUCUGUUUCUCACAUUGUCACUAAUCCGACAAUUUUAAUUUUUUUGUAUUAUUUUUAGGGUAAAAUAUAAAAAUAGUCACUUUUGUUUGUCUCAAGUUACAUUUUAGUCACUUAUGUUUGAAAUGUUACGUUUUAGUCACUUAUGUUGUUAUUUUGUUACAAAGUGAUCACUCUUCCGUUAAGUUCCGUUAUCUCCCUAACGGUAAUCUUUUGUGGCAGUCUAACUAGAUUUUAAGUGCCAACUUGGAUUUCUUAAUGGGAUGAGAAUAGAUUUCUAAUUAAAUAAAUUUAAUUAAUUAAAAAUUUUAAACCCUAAAUCUUAGUUAAAAAACCGUUCAUCUCCCCUCUUGUUUUAGUUUUCUUUUUCAAUUGACUAAAAAAACUAUUAUCAUCAAAUUUUUUUAUUCACAUACAAAAAACAAAAGAGGAUUCAAUAGAGGGUCCAGCUAUGUCUUCUUCACCGACAAAUUUAUGUUCUAAGACUUAAAAUGAAGUGGUUGUCAACAAGUAAGAAGAUGAUAAUCAUUUUUGUUCCUAAUCAUUGUAUUUUCCAAUUCUUAACAUUCUUGAAUAAUUGGUUUCUCGAUCCGGUUUUUUCUGAUCUGAAUCGACUUGUUUGUUCACAAUCCCUUUGUGGGUAUCUCUUUUUUCUAAUCUGAAAUUCUUUUAGUUGUUAAUAUUCAUAUCAAGAAUUUUAAUUUAGGGUUUUGAUUAAACAAUAAAAAAUCUAAUAUUUUAUUUUUCAGUAUUGAAUAAAAGAGAUAGAGGAAUGCAAAGAAGGCAUACCUGAACCCUCCAUUGAAUCCAUCUUUAUGAAGAAGUCAAUUUGAUGUCAACUAUUUUGAUCUUAAUAAUAGUUUUUCCACUCAAAUGAAAAAAAAAACCAUUGAAAAAAAGAAGAGACUGAAGAAAAAUUUUAAAAAAAAGAGAUGAACAGUUUUUCUAGUUAAGGUUUAGGUUUAAAAUUUUUUAAUUAAUUAAAAUUUUAAAUUAAAAAUCUAUUUUCAUCCCAUUUAGAAAUUCAAGUUGGCAUCUAAAAUUUAGUUGGACUGUCACGUAGGAUUACCGUUAGAGAGAUAACAGAACUUAACGGUAGAGUGAUCACUUCGUAACAAAAUAUAAGUGAUUAAAACGUAACAUUUCAAACAUAAGUGACUAAAAUGUAACAUGAGGCAAACAAAAGUGACUAUCUUUAUAGAUUACCCUUAUUUUUAUUGUUGUCUUUAUUUUUAUGAUUUUGGUUAAUUAUUAAUAAUUUAACUUUUUUGUUUUGUUUUUGAGAUGAUGUUGCGAUUAGAUUACUUUCAAAUGUGUGAAUAAUGGAAUCAACAGAUGCAUGUUAAUUUAGGUUAAUAUAAAGCAUAAAACCCUAAUAAAAAUGUCAAAGCUAAGGUGCUACUGUUUUUGAACAAGCGUGGUAGGGGUGUUAAUCUUUUCCUACGUAUUAAUGUAUUCUUUUAAAAUUUCUAUUUAAGUUAAUUCUAAAAUGAGUAGAUUCAUAGGUGGUUAAACAUAUACAUUCGACACAUUAUGACAGUACUAUUUAUAAAGCUUUUUAUUAAGUUAAUGACACCCAUUAAUUGAGUCUAAAAUCAAUUAAAAAAUUACUUUAAUGUUCCUUUACAUUUAAAAUAAAAUAUAUUAUUUAAUAAUAUUUUAAUUUUAUUUAAAAAAUAAUAAAAACAUGCAUAUAAAAUUUAUUUGAAUUCAUGCCAAUUAAAUUACCAAAACCUUCAAUUUACCAUAUGCAUAGGAUGCUAAUAAUCCUUUGAAUUUCUUCUAUUUAUGAACCAAAACGUGUAUAAUAUAUAUAUAUUUUUUAAAUUUCAUUCUUUGCACCGCCAUAGAAUUUUUAGUUAAUGCGCUGAUUAGUGUUUUGAAUGUUUCGUCAGUUUUAUUAUUAAUAGUAAGGGUUUUGGGUGAUGUUCAUUUCAGAUUUUCUGUCAGCUAAUUGGAAGCCAAUUGAAGUUCAUAGUAUUUGACUUAAGGAAUCUGCACCUAUUAUUGCUGUUAAGAUGACAGGUUCAAGCACAACCCAGAAUACUGAACCUCAACACCAUGUGAAUUGUGAAGAACAAGAAGUGCUUUGUAUGCAACCAGCCUACGCUUGGAAUUUUCAAUACUGCUCAUGAGAUACGUAGAAAGAUGGCAGAAGAGGGUAAAAGAUAAGUUCAUUGAUGUUUUGCUUUAAGACCUACAACUAUGAACAUUUUUAUUUCAUUGUUUAGUGUUGUAGUGUGGGAUUCACUUCUCUAUAUACCUUACAGAAGGAAAUGCAUUCCCUGCCAGAAGUGUUUUGAACUCAUUGUUGCUGCAAGCCUGUGGAUUAGUAUUCUUUUCAAGUCAUGCUGCUAGCAACUUAUCCUCCUUGAUUAGGCAAUGGAAAAAUUCAUCUCAUCCCCUCGUAUUUUUACAUGAUAGCAUUUCCAUUUUCGCUGUUAAUGUUCACAUUUCGAUGUUCAUUUGGUCAAGGAAGUUCAUUUAAUUCAGUAGUACAGGGAGUUUUUUGUAUGGGAGUAGCAUUCCCAUUUUCCUCUAAAGCUCUUUUGGUUUUGGUGGUUCACUUAAUCCAAGUUGCUGUAAUAAAAUUAGUCUAGUUAUCAUCUGACUAGCAUUAUUUUUUUUCAUUUACUCCCAUUUUUACCCGAAAUGAAGCCAGUGCUAGAGUUUAGGUCUCAUUCGUAAUGUUCCAUGGGCAUUAUAGUUUGGUUUUGUUAGGUUAGAAAACGUUUUCCCGAUCAGAAAUUUGAAUGAAGUUGGUGUUGGAAUCGUAAAACUCUGAUAUAAAAUUAAAUAAGUUAAGGUUUAUUAUGUUAAAUUAUCAAGAAUAAAUUAAGAAUAAAAUUACACACGGAAGCAUACUUGAAUUCAUUGUUGGAAAUUGCCUAAAAAAUUUUGAUCUUUUAAUAAAAUAGUUUUUUUCUCUCUGUAUAAUUCUUCUUAUGGAGAUAAAAAAGAAAGGGAAUAACUUGCAUAAGGAUGAUUCUAAAAACUAAAGUUUUUAGGCACCAAUAAAAGUUUGCCAUCUCAUCAAAAUUUAAAGACAUGAAAUAUUUAUUAUACACUCAUCCAUAGAGAAAUUAUUUUAUGGACCAUUCCCACCACAUUAUUCAGGAUCCAUUUCUAAUUAUUUAAUGACAUUUCAACAAUUUUUUUCAUGUCAUUAACACGUGAUUUUGAAUUUUUUUUUAAUCCUGAACCUCAAACCCUGAAUCCAGAUUCAUAAACCAUAAAUUCAAAAUAUAGAAAACCAAACCCUAAACUUAAAACCUAAACUUGUAGCCAUAAACCAUAAACCCUUGAACCCUAAACCUAAACCUUGAACCCCCAAAUCCAAAACCCAAACUCGAAUUCUAAACUUUAAAUUCUAAACCCAAACCUUAAACAUUAAGAUUUAGGGCUCAAGGUUUAAGGUUCAGGGUUCAAGUUCAAGUCCGAGGUUCUAGAUUCAUGGUAAAAUAAUUACCAAAAUUAUGUGUCAGUAACAUGGAAAAAUUGUACAAAAAUUACUACUUUUUUAAAUUGGUUGGACAAAAAUAAAAAAUAUUAACUUAUGAAGAAAAAAACAAAAUGAUUAAAAAUUGUAAAAGAAGAAAAGACGUUUGAUUGUAAUUUAAAAAAAAUUAAUCAUUUUAAGUAAUUUAACUAAGUUAAAUUAAGUUGGAGAAGAUAUUAAAUAUAGAUGAGUGUAUAAUAAUAUUUUGUUAUCUUUAAAAUUUAAUGACGUGGCACAAUUUUAUUUGUGCCUAAAAACUAUACUUUCUAGUAUUUAUUCCCAAAAAGAUAUACGAGAUAUAUAUCUAUUUCUUGGGGACCACUACAUCUUUUUAAAAUAACUAUUAUUAAAUCAAUUUUGGAUAUUUAUAAUUUGAUCAAAUUAUAAAUACAACUUAUGAUAUCUACACAUUAUUUCCAUGACACUUUAAUACCUAUGACACUUAUAACAUAAUUAAUCACUUAAUUUUGUAUCACACUUUAUAAUAGCAUUAUAUACAUUAUACAUAUAUGUCCAUAAUUAAAGAUUUUAAUCCAACACUCGGUGUGUGGUUGGUAACAACUUUUCCAUUCGAAUGGAGGUCACCUGGAUUGUUGUCACACGACAAUGAUUGGUUGGUUUAGUUAAUGUUUAUUUAUUUAUUAAUAGUUUGCUAGGAAUGGAGAUUAGUCAAUGUUGAGCACAUAGAUAAUCUAGGGGCAUUAUUCCAAAUGGUUUCGUUUUGAAUUUUAAUUCAACGGUGGUUUUGAAUAGUUUUAGACUGAUACAUCUGUUAGUUUGUGAUUUGGUCGGUAUGAUUUCAAUAACAUGGACAAUGUUUAAAACAAAUUUAAAAUUUGAAGCUGUCAAAAGUGGGUCUAAUAUGAAAAAUCGGAACUAAGAUUGAACGUAUUCCAAAAAAUAAGAUUAUAAAGUUGGACAAAAAUUAGUAUUUACAAAGUUGUUUAUAGGAAAUCAUGACAUGUCCAUUUUAUUAAAAGUAUAACCCAAACCCUUAGUUUUUUGUCUUUCUAUAUACAACUUACAAUUGUAUAAAUAUUUGGCAUAAGAAAUAAUCUUUUAACUCAAGAAGCUAGCUACUUGUCAUAGAUCAAGUCUGCUAACCCUAGACAUUUAUAUUUGCAAUCGGUUUUCUUUUCGAAGUACAGACUUCGAUUACUCUUUUUCAAUCGGUUUUCUAGUUCACAGUAAAUUUUGUGCAGCGACUUUCCUUUGCAUUGUUAUCGAAAAUUGACAAUUGGAAUUUUGGAAUUCGAGAGUUCUCUUUAUCUGCGAUUGUUUUUGUACGGGAAAAUACGAGAAGGUUUCAAUUUUGGCAUAAUCGUUGGGAGCUGUUUCUACAGUUUCGACUUUAGGCAAUUUUGCAACAUGUCAACGGAAGAAGAGUUAGCCAAUCUGACUAUCGAUGAGGAUGAAGGGGUAUCGGUCAGAUCGGGAGAGGAAGAGGUAGACGUGGGAGAAGAUUUCAACUUGUGCUUGGUUGGAAAGGUUUUGACAGAAAGUUUGGUGCACUUUCUGUCUAUGAAGAACACACUCACAAAUUUGUGGCAUCCGUUUGAAGGUACCUUAAUCACUGAUAUUGGUAAAAAAAAGGGUGUUUUUUUUUUUGUUUCUAUAGCCAGAUCGAUCUAAGAAGAGUAAUGAAUGAUAUGCCAUGAUUUUUUAAUAGACAUCUCAUUAUCUUUCCUAAGAUGGAAAAAUAAGAGGAUCCAUUAUAGGUCCCAUUGUUUUAUCCCCCAUUAUGGGUUUAAAUUAUAACCUACCAAUAGGAUUGCAUUUCACAAUAGUUUGGAAAUUUUAUUGGACAGUUUGUGAAGUAUGACGCAUCAAUUGCUACAAGAGGUGUGAAAAAGUUUAUAAGGGUUAGGGUAAUUUUGGAUGUUUGUUUUCCGUUAAAAAGGAAAAAUAAAAUUUAUCAUUAAUCAAAGUAGCUCUACCUAUGCUCAAUUUCAAUAUGAAAAGCUUCCACUAUUCUAUUUUAUUUUUGGAAGGAUGGGGCAUGUCGAAGGUUUUUUGCCCAUUAAGGCUAACGUUGGGAAAUUAAGAGGUGGAGUUUGGUUGGGAAAGUUCAUUAAAGGUCGAGCCAAAAAGGAUAAUACAACCUAAAAGUCCAUGGUUAAGGGAGGAACCAAAAGAAGGGAUCAGAGUUGGGGGAAGAUCGAAUAGGAUCGUGGAGGUGGCUAUACUGUAGAAGUUAGAAUGAUGGUUAUUAAUGGAAGAAUAUGAUGUAUUCAAGGACAACCCAGGUCAACCACCGUACAAUCUAGAACAAGAUUUUUAAUACACUUAGCUGUGAAAGAGGAUCCAUCAAAGGCAAGGAGGUAGUUUAAGAGGAGGAGGAUAGACUAAUAAAGUUUAGGGAAGGGAAGAAACGACAAAGAACCCUAUGUGAAGACCAAACUGUGGUAAUCAUAUGCGAAGAUCAAGCAAUGGAAGGAAGUUCUGAAAUCUUGCCGACUGCUAGAAUUCAAUAUAGCCAGUCGUAAUGAAAACCUUAAGUUGGAAGGUCCGCGGGUUGGGGCACCCGUUGACAGUUCGUCGUCUCAAGAACAUGUUGAGACACUUUUGGACCCAAUGUUUGUUUUUGAUUGAAACAAAAGUAAGCAAAAAAGGAUGGAAAAUAAGGAAGAAUUGUGGUUUCAAGUAUGGAAUUGAUGUAAGUGCAGAUGGAUCGAAAGGAGGGCUAUCUUUAGGUUGGAAAGAGAAGGUAGAUGUAACUUUAUAGAGUUUUUCUUCUUCACAUAUUUAUGUAAUAGUGAAAGAAGAGAGAGAAGUUUCAACAUGGAGGUUCACCACAUUUUAUGGUGCAUCGGUGGAGGGGUUGCGAAAGGAAUCAUUGAAUUUGUUAAGACGGUUAGGAAGAGGAUGUGAUAUCCUUUAGGUAAUUAUGGGUGAUUUUAAUGAGAUCAUGUUUUAUUUUGAGAAAAAAAGGAUGGAGGAUGAGAGAGGAGAGGCAGAUGAGUGCCUUUCGGGAGGUGCUUAAGGAGUGUGGUUUAAGUGAUUUAGGUUUUUCUCAUGGGAAAGGGGAAAGCUUCCAGACAACAAUAUUAGAGAAAGGUUGGAUAGGGGUUGGCCAAUACUAAAUGGUGGGAAUUAUUCCUAGAAUAUUCAGUUGAACACCUUCAUCAUAGUAUUUCAGAUAAUUGUCCACUUUUGUUAAACAUGAUUGGGCAAAAAGGGGAGCAAAUGCUAGCAAAAACAUUUUGGUUUCGAUUUAAUGCAGAUUGAACAUUGGAAGAAAACUUUAAGGAGAAAGUAGUAGUGAGAUAGGGAUCAGAUGGAAGAGAUGUGCCAGAAAAGUUAUCAUAGCUCAGAUCUAAAUUGAGUAGAUUGGCUAGUGCAAAUAAAGUUAAAAGAGAAGGAAGAAAGAAAGAUUUACAGGCCAGGUUAAGAGAGCUAGUUGAAGAAGAACCCAUUGAUGAGAUUUUAGCCAAAAUUACGGAUGUAAAGCUCGCAUUAAAUCCAGAGGCAGACAAAGAAGAAAUUUUUUGGGAACAAAGGGAAAGUGUGAACUGGCUCAAGUUGGGAGAUCGAAAUAUGUCCUUUUUCCAUGUUGUUGCAAAUAGUCGUUGUCAAAACCUUUUUUGAAGUAGACUUUAUUUUGAAAACGAGAAUGGGAGUCGCCACUCGGGUCACCUUGAAACUUGAUCUUUUUAAUAAAAGGUUUAAUUUAUUAAAACAAUGUUUUUCGGUCUAUAAAAAUCUAGAAAUGGGUUCGGGAGUCGGUUACAUACGAGGAAGGAUUAGCACCCUCGUAACGCCCAAAAUUGGUACCUAAUUGAUUAAUUAAUGUCUUAAUGUCAAAAUUUGAAAACUCGAAAAUAAUUUUAAAAAUAUGAUCCCUCUUUGUAUUAAUGUUAAUUUAAAAAAAAAACGCUUGAAUAGAUCGAAACAUGUGUUAAAGGUUCUCUUAUCUCGAAGUAAUAAGAGGUUAUAUCCCGUAAGUUAGGAUAUGACACCUUGAAAUCUCAAAUAAUAAGCUCGCUUUCUAUUAUUGAAUUAAACCUCAUGUAUUUUAAAAGGAUACUUGGGCAUUUAGGCUCAACGAGAAUAUCGAAACCCGGUAAGUUAGUAUACGACUUCUCGAAUCUCGAAAUACGAAAUAUUGCCUAUUUUUAAAAGAUUUCCUUUUUAUGUAUUAGGUAAAAAUUAGUGUGACACGAAUUGAUUAUAAUAAUGGUAAUGAUCAUAACAUAAUUAAUAUUUAUUUGGUAAUAAUGAAGAAUUAUAAUGAUGCAAAUAAGGAUAUUAUUUCAUAGCAUUAAUAAUAAAAUAAAUAAAAUAAUUUAGAAUAAAAAAUAAAGGAAAAUAUAAAUAAUAUCAAAUUAAAUAUUUCGAAAGUGACUAAAUGGGACUAAAUGGGAAAUUAUUCCCAGUCCUCAGGGUGCGUUGUUUUGCAAUGUACCAAAGUGAAACAAAAAUUACUUUAUGCGGACAAAUUUUAACUAUAUAAAACGGAAAUAGGGAUAGAAUGAAAAAUAUAAAAAGGCGAAAGGGUUAAAGCUAAAAAUAACCCAUUUUGCUUAAAAACACGCGGAUCCCAUCUGCAGGUCGGGUCAAACACGGGUCAAGGGCCAAACGACGCCGUUUUGCGGCUAUUAAAAUUAGCCCUAAACGACGUCGUUUGCAUGGCCUAUAAAUGCCAAGUUUUUUUUUAAUUUCUUCAUUCCAUUCUCUCUAAAAAAAACUAAAAAAACUCUCUCAAACUCUCUCCCUCCCCUCUCAGUCCGGCCUUGGGCUAAGCCUCCGCCGUAGCUCCGUCGUAGACGGUGGUUGAAGGUGCACAAAAUUGGGACUUUUCAGCCCUUUUCGAUCCUCUUUUCUUUUUAAAAUAAAAACCUUUAAAUCUAGUUUUGGUUUAGAAAUAGAAAAGGAAAUAAUUUUCCAAAAUACAACAACCCCCGUUGCCUUUUGAACCAUCAUCAGAACCCAUAUGGGAUCUUGGGUAUUCGGAUGCCGGCAAAGUUCGACGGAGGGGGAGACAAAUCGACAGGUAAGAUUUUUACUAUUUAUUUAUUUAUUUAUUUAUUUCGAAGAAAAAAAUAAAAAAAACACCUUUGAUAUUUUCUGUUUCAUUCUUUUUUUAUUUAUUCAAAAAUCCCCCUUGAAUAUUACAAGAAAUCAGCCUUUAUAGCUGUUUAAAAUUACAACAUUUUUCUUUUUUUUUUUUGUUUUUGCGUUACUACUGUUUCUUUGUCAUUGUUCCUGUCCUUUUCUUUGCCUUUUUUGAAGGUGCUAGGCUCGAUCAAUAGGGUUGGAAAGCUAUUCUGGUGCAAGGUUGAGCAGAGAGGGUCAGGCCUCGGGACGAGGCGCUGGCGGUGCGCUCGAGGAGGAGUGGCGCACAUGGGAGCUAGGGUUUCUGCUUCUGCUGAAACUGUUUAAUCAUGUAGGCUUGUAAUUUUUGGGCUUGAAUAUUUGGGUAGUGGAUUUUUUGUAAAUUUGGACUAUUUAAUUUUGGGCUUUUAUUUGAUUUUGGGCCCGGGCAAAUUGGGCCUACUACAACUGUCCCUCUUUGCUCAUUUUCGUGCAACGAUAAUGGAGCAAAAACUUUUAAGAAGGAUCAAUUUUGCCCGGUCUCACCGAAUUUGACUUCUUUCGGUGCUUUUCUUCUUCAAGUAGCCUCAUUCUAACCCACUGUAUUUUCAGGGGUUUAGGAAUUGUCACUUCGAUCCAAUCCAUUGCAACUUCAGGGAGAUAAGACUUGUAGCUUCGAUCCACUUCACUGCAACUUCAGGGAGAUAAGACUUGUAACUUCAAUCUGCUUCGCUGCUACUUCAGGGAGAUGAGAUUUGUGUCUUCAAUUUGCUCCACUGCAACCUCAGGGAGAUAAAAUGUGUAGCUGUAAUUUGCUCUGCUGCAACUUCAAAAAGAUAAGAUUUGUUAUUUUUAACCUGCUUCACUGCAAUUUUAGGGAGAUAAGGUUUGAGUCUUUAAUCUGUUCCACUGCAACUUCAAGGAGAUAAGAUUUGUAGCCCGUCUUCAAUCUGCUCUACUGCAACUUCAGGGUGAUUAGACUUGUAGCUUAAAUCUGCUCCACUACAACUUUAGGGAGAUAAGAUUUGCUAUCUUUGAUUUACUCUACUGCAACUUCAGUGAGAUAAGAUUUUCUAUCUUCGAUUUACUCCACUGCAACUUCAAGGAGAUAAGACUUGUAACACCCCCUAACACCAAACCAUCGCCGGAACAAGUUUAUGGAGCAUUACCGGACCUAUCGAACAAUUUACAAUUAAUAUACAAAUAAUUAUCAGACAUAAUAUAAAAUAAUCUUAAAGUCUCUUAGAUGGACCCUCGAUGCCCAAAAUAUCAAUUAGGAGUGAUUCGGGUGCUUGGGAAAUUUUUUUUAUGCGAACUCAAUAUAACCCCUUUAUAAAUAUCUAACCUUCCCUGCAAAUUCAAAUCGAGAGCAACCCAAACAAAAACCACAACCAAUCCAAUUCACAUUUAAAUACACCUAAAUUAUAUCUAAAACAUUAACUUGAUAUUUUAAUUAAAUGAACAUUCAUAAUAUCAUUCAAAAUUUUACUAACUAGCUUUAUUCAUUUUUCUUUCCAAGUUUAAUACCAAACUUACCAAAUUUGUCAAACCAUUUCAUUUAACUUAGUACCAAAACACCAAAUAUCAUUUAUUACAACUAAAAUCAUAAAACAUUUUAAAGUGACCAUUACAACACCUAUGUACAUGCCACUUUUACCAAAAGAAGAGUACAUCACCAAAGUUUGAUGCUGGAGUCGGGAUUGUUCUAGAUGCUGGACUGGGACUCUGGACUCCUAUCGACCUGCGUACGGAAACAACCGUACGCUGAGUAUUUCAUACUCAAUGGUAUUACCAUAAUUCAAAUUAUAAUAACAAUAAUAGAAUAUAAUUAUCAAGCAUGUAAUGAUUAAAUUUAUCAAAUAUCAAUUCAUUCUUAAACUUUCAUUUAUUAACAAUAACAAUAAAUUUUUUUUAGCUAUUCUUCAAUUUCAUUCACAUAUCAUAUGCCUCAAUUUCAAUCACUACAUGAACAUUUAGUUCAUGCCUUUCGUUUCCAAUCUCAAUUUCAAUCCACAAUUCAACUUUCUCAUUUCUUUCAAUAUUUUCAAUAGUAUAAUCAAUCAAUUUAUUUUAAAUUUCUCAUUUCAGUUGUUCACCUCAUUAACAAACCCAAACUUUGACGGAUACACGGAUUUCAACUCAAACACACUAGUACGACACAUUGUGCCUAAAAUAAUAUAUAGUACUUGAUCAGUAUAUGACACACAAGUGCCUGAAACGACACACGAGGUGCUUGAUACGACACAUAAAGUGCCUGAAACGACACAUGAGGUGUCUGAUACGACACAUAAAGUGCCUGAUAUACGACACAUAAAGUGUCUAUUGGCAAAGCCGAUAAACCAUGUACUCUUCCAAAUCCUAUGGUAUGCCAACUAUAUCCGACUUAGCCCGACUAGUUAAUAGGGUAUUCCAAUUCUCAAUUAAAUUUUCACUUUCAUACCAAAUUUAAAAUCACUAUUCAAUUUCAAUUUCACAUUCAAAUCAAUAUAUAAUUCAAUUAUACAUAAACAUUCACCAUCCAAUCCAAUUCCCUUUCAGCUCAAAUAUUAAUACUUACCUUAUACUUAUUUAUUAAAUAUAAAAUUUAUAUAGAACAUUUAAUAAAAAGUAAUUUGAAUUAUAGUAUGUAAUACAAACCCGGAUUUCGCGAUUACUCCUCGAUAACUUUCUCCUUUCCUUUUUGUGCCGAUGCCUUAGUUUCCUUGCUAGCUACGAAAAUAAUAAUAAUUACACUAUUAAUUACAACACUAAUUAAUAAUAAUAAUUGAAUUUUUAUCCAAUUUAUACCUUAUUCCAAUUUAAUCCUAAUUAACUCAUUUACUUUUCUAACUCAAUUCAUACUUUAUUUCUAUUCAAUUUCCUUCUAUAUUCUACUUAUCUAUCUAAUGUUCAUAAUAAAACCCUAAUUUAAAACUUCUUUCAAUUUAAUCCCUACAGCAGAAAACUUAUAGCCUAGUUUACAAUUUAAUCCUUUAAUCAAUUUUAACUUAAAAUUCAUUCAAUUAAACCCCUAAUUCAUUAUUUUGUUCAACAUGAACUAUGUUCAAAAACUUAAAAACUUUCAAAACCUCAACUUAAUUUCAACAAAACUUUGUUCUAAAGCUUCUAAAACAUCAAAAUUAAAAAAAAAUAACUUUAUUGACUUACCAAAAUAAGCUUAAAGCAUCAAAACUCUAAUUUUUCCUUUUAUUUUUCUUUCCUUCUACCUUCGAAAUGCUCUCUGUUUCUUUUUUGUUUCUUUUGUUUUGUUUCUUUAUUUAUUUAGUUAGUUUCAUAAUAAUUUAAUAUAAUAAUUAUUAUAAUAAAUAUCUAUUUACUAUGCAAAUAGAUAUAUUACAAAUGUACACUUAUAUAUUACUACAUUUGUAUAUCAUCAUUACCAUCCAUUUGUCACAAUUUAGUUUAUUUCAUAAUAUAAUAAUAAUUAAUAAAUAUCUUUUACUUAUUACUUAAGAAAAUAUAAAAAUAUAUUACAAAUGUAUUUUCAUGUAUUUUACAUAUGUUUAUUAUCAUUACCAUACAUUUGUCACUAUAUUAAUUAAUUUAAAAAUAAUAAUUUAAUAUAAAACCAUAACAAUAAUUAAUAAUAAUAAUUAUUAUAUAUAAUACAUAAUCUAAGAAAAAUCUUAGAUUUUUCUUCCCAUUUGCCACCUCACCUAAUGAAAUAGGCAUAAUUGCCUAUUUAAUCCCCUUUAUUUUGUUUUAAUCUAUAAUUAAACUUUUACCCUUUAUUCAAUUUAGUCAUUUUUACUAAUUACUCUAAAUUAAGCUAAGUUCACUUAAUAAAAACCUAAUUAGACACACCACUAGACUCAUAAAUAUUUCUAAUAAUUAUUUACGAACUCGGUUUAUUAAGAUGAAGGCCCGAUAUUGCACUUUUUCAAUGCUUGUGAAUUUUGGGUCAUUACAAGACUUGUAACUUCAACCUGCUCCACUGUAACUUCAGGAAGAUAAUGUUAGUGGCUUCAAUCUGCUCCACUGCAACUUCAUGGAGAUAAGAUUUGAGGAUAAUUUGUAGCUUUAAUCGGUUCUACUGCAACUUCAGGGAAAUAAGAUUUCCUAUUUUUAGUCUACUCCACUGCAAUCUCAGGGAGAUAAGACUUGUGACUUCAACCUGCUUCACUGCAACUUUAGGGAGAUAAGGUUUAUAACUUUAAUCUACUUUACUGCAACUUCAGAGAGAUAAUAUUUACUAUCUUCAAUCUACUCCACUACAUCUUCAGGGAGAUAAGAUUUGUAACUUCAACCUGCUCCACUGCAACUUCAGGGAGAUAAGGUUUAUAGUUUUAAUCUACUUUACUGCAGCUUCAGAGAGAUAAGAUUUGUUAUCUUCCAUCUGCUCCACUGCAACUUCAGGGAGAUAAGACUUGUAAUUUCAACCUCCUCCACUACAACUUUAGGGAGAUAAGGAUUAUAGCUUUAAUCUGCUUUACUGCAACUUCAGAGAGAUAAGAUUUGCUAUCUUCAGUUUGUUCCACUGGAACUUCAGGUAGACAAGAUUUAUAGCUUUAAUCUACUCUACUGCAACUUCAGGGAGAUAAUAUUUGUUAUCUUCAAUCUGCUCUACUGUAACUUCAGGGAGAUAAGACUUAUAAUUUCAACCUGCUCCACUGCAACUUCAGCGAGAUAAGGUUUAUAGCUUUAAUCUUCUCUUCUGCAACUUCAAAGAGACAAGAUUUGCUAUCUUCAGUCUACUCCACUGCAAUUUCAGGGAGACAAGAUUUGUGGCUUUAAUCUGCUCCACUGCAACUUCAGGGAGAUAAGAUUCACCAUGAUGAUUAUAAUCCAUCCCACUACAACUUUAGAGGUAUAGGAUUUGUGGUUUCACUGAUCUGUUACACCAUUCUCUGGGGAACAUGACCUGUAGAAUCCAUUUCAUGGGCCUAUUUAUGCCUAGUGAUUUGGAUGUCAUGACCAGGAUGAAUCGAAUGCUCCUAACUAGAUGUGUAUGAAUAAUAUUUGCAUGAAUGCAGAAUGUCAUUUUUCGAGAAUGAUCCCUUUUUAAUGCUUAGGUUGUCAUUGCUCGUUGUUCAUCAAUGUUCUAUCACUGAUGUGCUACCAUGCCUUCUUAUUCAGCUGGUAUCUUUGGCAGAAAAUCUGAAAAAAUAGUUACAAUUUAGACUAUUCUUUCUCAAAUAUUUCCAACCCUUAAGUUUGGUUAGUUCUGACUAGAGGUCAUGUUUCAGGUCAUUGCACAAUUUAGAAGCUUUUAGAGCAAUAUGCAUAACUCUUUUUACUUGAAUAUUAUUAGUCCAUUAAUCGUUAUUUCAAUGAAAAAUCAUUGAAAAAGAUUGUAACAAUGGACAAGAUUGAAAUUCAAUGGGAGCAAAGCUCAAAAUGAAUAAAUUAAUCAAAGGUAGCAAAUGUUGCUAAAAUAAAAAAUGAGUACGAUGAAAAUAGGUGCCUUAAAUAUCGUAGCAUAAUCUUCUCUACACUAACUUCUCGAGGACCCUUUUGAGCUUGAUAUGUGUUUCGGAGAUCCAAAAUACUUUGUUGAUGCCCCAAGACGUAGCAUCCCUUCUCCUUGUUAAUUUGGGGAUAACAAGACUACCACAUGUCCCAUCUUUUAUCAAAAUUUGAAUUGCCCUUUUUGGGUUUUCAAUUCAAAACUCUUUUGGUCUCAAAACGCCAGGUUUUCGUCUUGGCCUCUCACUUUUUUCUUUUCUUUUCUUUUCUUUUCUUUCUUUCUUUUGCUCUUUUUUUUUAGGUGAAAUACCUCUUGGUUGAAUCUGAAUUCACAAGGUUGGGCAAAUCUCUACCAUCCAUCUUGGUCAAAAUCAACGCUCCUUUAGAAAAGUCUUUCUUCACCAUAUAAAGUCCUUCCAAGUUUGGUAUCCAUUUUCCUCCGAAGUCCUUUUGUAUGUGAAGGGUCUUUUUCAAUACUAGGUCCCCCUUAUGGAAUUCUCUGGGGCGAACCUUUUUGUUAUAAGCUCGUACAUUCAUUUUUUUUACAUUUGAUCAUGAUGAAUAGCUUUCAACCUCUUUUCUUCGAUCAAAUUCAGCUGAUAUCGGUAUUUGAUCCAUUUGGCUCCAUCUAACUUCAGCUUUGACAGAACUUGGAGAGAAAAAAUCUCGACUUUAUUGGAUAAAACCGCCUCCAUUCCAUAAAUCAAUAACAAAGGCAUUGCCCCGGUGGAGGUCUUGACAGACGUUCGAUAAGCAUGAAGGGUAAAUGGUAACUUCUCAUGCCAAUAUUUGUACGUCUCAAUCAUCUUCCCUACUAUCUUAUUCAUAUUCUUAUUGGCUGCUUUUACCGCACCAUUCAUUUUUUGGCUAUAUGGCGACGAGUUGUGGUGUUUGAUCUUGAAUUGACUGCAGACCUCCGUUAUAUUACUAUUGUUCAAGUUUAAUACAUUGUCAGAUAUGAUCCUUUAUGGCAUUCCAUACCUACAUAUGAUCUCUUUCUUCAAGAAUUUGCUGACUACUGAAUUUGUGACAUUGGCGUAAAAAGUGGCCUCUACCUACUUGGUAAAGUAAUCAAUGACUACGAAGAUGAAUCGAUACCCAUUAGAAGCUUUUGGUGAGAUCGGCUUAAUGACACCCAUGCCCCACAUGGAGAAAGGCCAUGGAGAAGUCAUGACAUGAAGAGGUGAAUGAGGCACAUGAAUUUUUUCUCCAUAAAUUUGGCACUUAUGGCAUCUCUUGGCAUAACUGAUAUAAUCUCCUUCUAUGGUGGACCAAUAAUACCUGAAUCUCAUGAUUUUUCUGGCCAUUGUAAAACCAUUAGCGUGUGUUCCAAAAACGCCCUCAUGGACUUCUUCCAAGAUUUUCUUAGCCUCAACAGCGUCCACACAUCUUAGGAGUACCUGAUCCUUUCUUCUUUUGUAUAGGAUCUCCUCAUCUAAAACAUAGUCACUGGUCAAUCUUCUCAACGUCCUCUUAUCAUUUUUAGUUGCUUGGUCAGGGUAUUCUCGAUUCUUCACAUAUUGUAGUAUAUCGUGGUUCCAAGGGUAAUCGUCCUUUUCUUAUUCCUCAAUAUUGUAACAAUGAGCUGAAGCCUCAUAAAUACUCAUCUAGAUAGGUUUUAUGACCUCUUAUUUGUUCACUUUGAUCAUAGAAGUUAAAGUAGCCAAGGCAUCAACCAUCUGUUUUUCAUCUCGUGGGAGAUAGUAGAAGGUGGUAUCAUAAACUCCUUAAUUAAUUCAAGAACCAGCCUUCGAUAAUUGAUCAUUUUGGGGUCUCUCAUCUCCCAUUGACCUUUGAGCUGAUAGAUCGCUAAUGCAGAAUCACUAUAUACCUCUAGUACUUUGAUCUUGUAUUCUAUGGCUACACGAAUAUCUAUGAUGCAUGCUACUUAUUCUGCCAUAUUAUUUGUGAAAUCAAAAUCCAAUUUACUAAUAAAGGGAUAAUGAUCUCCGUUUGGGGAUACCAGGACUGCCCCAAUUCCGUUACCCAAAGUGUUUGAGGCUCUGUCGAAGUUUAGCUUCCAAGGAUGACCUUUUUGAGAGUCUUUUUCAGUGGUUGCAACAUACAUCAGAUCUUCAUUUGGGAAAUCAAAAUUCAAAGGCUCGUAAUCUUCUAGAGCUCUACUGGCUAGAAAAUAUGCUAUUGUGCUCUUUUUUAUAGCUUUCUGAUUUAUAUAAACUAUAUUAGACUCAGAAAGCAGAAUUUGCCACUAGGCCAUUCUUCUAUUCAAAAUAGUUGACUCCAUCAUGUACUUUAGAGGGUCCAGUUUUGAGAUGAGUCAAGUUGUAUGGUACAACACGUACUGUCUCAGUCUUCAUGUUGUCCAAAUCAAGGCACAACACAAUUUCUCGAUUGGCGAAUAUCUUGUCUCACAUUCAGUGAAUAUCUUACUGAGAUAGUAUAUCACUUUUUCUUUUCUCCCUGACUCAUCAUGUUGGCCAAGCACGCAUCCCAUGAAAUUUCCAAUUACCGCCAAGUACAGUAUCAGCAGCUUAUCUGGGUUAGGUGGCAUCAGUACUGGGGUAUUGGACAAGUAGUGUUUAAUCUUGUCGAAAUUCUUUUGGCAUUCCUUAUCCCAAACGCCUAGAUUGUGUUUCUUAAGGAGAUAGAAUAUAGGGUCGCAUUUCUCAAUUAGUUGUGGAAUGAACCGGGUGAUGUAAUUUAGUCUUCCUAGGAAACCUUGAACUUCUUUUUGAGUGCGCAAUAGAGGCAACUCCUGUAUAGCCUUUACUUUAUCUAGGUCGAUCUCGAUCCCCUUUUUAUUGACUACAAAUCCUAGCAAUUUUCUCGACCUAGCCCCGAAGGUACAUUUUGCUGGGUUGAGCUUUAGCUGGAAUUUUCUCAAUCUUAAGAACAACUUCCUUAAAACUUGCACACGCUACUUUUCUGUUCUAGAUUUUUCAAUCAUGGCGUCAAUAUAAACUUCAAUUUCUUUGUGUAUCAUGUCAUGAAACAAGGUUAUCAUGGCUCUUUGAUAUGUUGCUCCCGCAUUUUUCAGUCCAAAUGGCAUCACCUUAUAGCAAAAUGUUCCCCACAUGGUUACGAAUGUAGUCUUCUCCAUGUCUUCAAGAUGCAUCUUUAUCUGGUUGUAUCUUGAAAAACCAUCCAUAGAAGAGAACAGCGAGUAACCUGUUGUGUUGUCUACUAAAGUGUCGAUAUGAGGUAAUGGGAAAUUGUCUUUUGGGCUAGCUUUGUUCAAAUCCCUGUAGUCUAAGAAUAUUCAUACUUUCCCAUCUUUCUUAGGGACGGGGACUAUAUUGGCUACCCAUUCUAAGUAUUUAACCACUUGUAGGAAACCAGCGUCGCAUUGCUUCUUGACAUCUUCUUUUAUUUUCAACAGGACACUGGGCCUCAUCCUUCAGAGUUUCUAUUAAAUUGGCUUGCAUUAUUUUUUUAGGGGAAACCAGUGUACCACGAUACCAGUACUUAGACCAGGCAUGUAUUAAUACGACCAUGCCAAGACUUCUUUAAAUUUUUAGAGUAACUCAAUGAGGUCUCGUUUUGUUUCUGCAGUGAUGCAAGCUCCGAUCUUUACCUCUUUCUUUUAUUAUUUGUCUCCUAAGCUCACAACUUCCAUUGACUCUUUGUGAGGUAGGAUCUGUUUUUCCUCUUGUUCUACCAUCAUUAACAAAUCAGGAGAUAUGUUACAAUCUCGAUCAUCUUCAAAGUAAUGAGGUUUCUCUAGACACAUAUCUUGCUCAAAAGGAGAUUCUGAGUUAGUAGCAACGUCGCUCAUAUUAUUGACAUUUGGAGACCUAUUAUAGGAACGAAGGAAGACCCAAAGAACAAAUGAAUUUAAGAAUAACUAUAUGUGUGGUAUGAGUAUGAAUGAAAUGGAAAGAACAAAAUAAUUGUUUCCAAAACGAGACUCAAAGAUGCAUUUUAUUGAAAUAAAAAUAGUUCACAUGUGCCUUUUUUACAAAAGGAUUCCUAUUACUCCCAGGCUUAGAGUAACAGGUGUGUUCUAAAUAUUACUCAGAAAUGGUCCUAAAAAUUAUAGGGAUCUCCUUCACAGUCCAUUUGUUCAGAACACUUCUGGGGAUAUAAGAACAAAUUCUUAAUAGGUUUUUUAGUUUCCUUUCCAAAUGCUCGAUAUUUUUAAAGAAUUCUAACUUUUUGUUAUCCAUCAGGCUCUGUACUAGAGUUCUAAACUCGACGCACUUUUUGAUUUCAUGAAAUUUAUUGCAUGCAAUGAAAUGUAAUGUUAAUGAAUGGAAAAGAUACAUGCAAAAAGGCGUUGAUUCUAGUUCAAUUCCAUUAGAACAACUUUACUAGAAAACAAGUUUCUUUACAUAAAGUGGAUACAUAUACGACCUUCCUUUAACACUCAAAACCUUAACCUUCCCAAGAAACAAAGCUAAUUCUUGGCCUGAUCCAACUCCGAUUUGGAUUUCAGACUUUGAACGGCUGGGGUCUGCAAGUGGUCAACCACUUCUCAUAUUCGGACUAAAGUUUCGCUAAUAAUGUGGUCAAUAUCUCUGACCUGCCCCUCUCACAGGCUGUCACCUUUCUCUUGUUGCCUUUUCUCGGACCAUAUUCGUGCGACUGUGUUGUCUUCCACUUUAUCAAGAAACCCAUUUUCCAUGACAAGCUCUCUAUUUAGCAAUUGAAUGUGAAUCAACACAUUUUUUUAUUUAUUUAUGAUGAAUAUGCAAUGCAAUCAAAGCCAAAACAAAACGAAACAAGUUAGUAUACUUCAUACAAAGCUAAAGUAAACAAGAAAUAAUAAAUAAAGCACCUAUUUGGGUGACCACUAGGGGUUCCGUGCGGUUCUACCUAGGGUAGGCUCUUAGGGCUUACUAUAUGCAGUUCGGUUCUAAAGUAAGGAUACCUGAACCGACAGAUUCCUCGAUCCUCACCCAUUAUAGGCUCAUAUGGACUGAGUUCAGUUCAGGGGAAUAAAUUUCCCUAUGGCUAUACGGAGAUGAAAAUCUCACGAAGCCAUAGGUACGGAUGUAUCCCGAAAGCGAUCCACUAUCCUAUACAGAGGUGAAGACCUCACAAAGGAAUAAUUUCCCACUCUCACUUAAAAGGGUAUAACUGACUGAUUAUGAAAUGCAAAAUGCGAAAUUAUAUCUGAAGACUCAAGCUAAUAGGCAAAUAUAUCAAAAUGAUGUAGACUAUAAAAAUGAAAUGCAACGAAAGUAUCGUAAAUUUAAACCAAAUUAUCAAUUUUUGAAAAAAAGACAAGAAAUAAUCAACUCGUGGCUUGACUCUCUUAUUUUUUCCCCAGCGGAGUCAUCAAGCUGUCAAAACUUUUUUUGAAAGUUGUCGACUUUAUUUUGAAAACAAGAAUAGGAGUCGCCACCAAUCCUUUUUAUAUGAGGUGUGAUUGGAUCACCUUGAAACUUGAUAUUUUUAAUAAAAAAGUUUAAUUUAUUAAAACAAUGUUUUUCGGUCUACAAAAAUCUAUAAUUGGGUUCGGGAGUCAGUUACAUACGAUGAAGGAUUAGCACCCUCGUAACACCAAAAAUUCGUACCUAAUUGAUUAAUUAAUGUCUUAAUGCCGGAAGUUGAAAACUCAAAAAGAAUUUUAAAAAUACGAUCCCUCUUUGUAUUAAUGUUAAUUUAAAAAAAAACACUUGAAUAGAUCGAAACGUAUGUUAAAGUUUCUCUUAUCUCGAAGUAACAAAAGGUUAUAUCCCGUAAGUUAAGAUACAACACCUUGAAAUCUCGAAUAAUAAGCUCAUUUUCUAUUAUUGAAUUAAAUCUCAUGUAUUUUAAAAGAAUACUUGGGCAUUUAGGCUCAACGAGAAUAUCGAAACCUCGUAAGUUAGGAUACGACUUCUCGAAUCUCCAAAUACAAAAUAUUACCUAUUUUUAAAAGAUUUCCUUUUUAUGUAUCAGUUAAAAAUUAACGUGACACGAAUUGAUUAUAAUAAUGGUAAUGAUCAUGACAUAAUUAAUAUUUAUUUGGUAAUAAUGAAGAAUUAUAAUGAUGUAAAUAAGGAUAUUAUUUCAUAGCAUUAAUAAUAAAAUAAAUAAAAUAAUUUAGAAUAAAAAAUAAAGGAAAAUAUAAAUAAUAUCAAAUUAAAUAUUUAGAAAGUAAAAUAAUAAUAAAUAAAUAGACAAAACAAAUAACAUUAAAUUUAAGUAAAAUAAAAAAUAGAUAAAACAAGUAGAUAAUAUUAAUUCUAAAUAUUUACAAGAAGGUAAAAGAAUAAUAAAUGAAUAAAUAAAACAAAUAUACAUAACAUUAAAUUUAAAUAAUUAAAAGGUAAAUUAACAAAUAAAUAAACAAAUAUAAUAGAUAUAAAUAAUAAAUAAAUAAGUAUUAGGUGAAAACAAAAUUUUAAAUAUAACAAGAAGGUAAAUAAUUAGUAAAACAAAUGGAUAAAUAAAUAAAAAUAAGUGAAAAUAGAAUAACGUUAUAUAAAAUCUAAAAAGAUUGAAAUUGAUUAAAUAAAGGAUGAAAUCGAAACAAAUAUAAAGUUGAAAGGAUAAAUUAUAAAUAAAUAAAAGAAAAGGGCAAAACGGAGGGCCAAAAUAAAACACACACCAAGAAGGAGGGACUAAAUGGGAGAUUAUUCCUAGUCCUCGGGGUGUGUCGUUUUGCAAUGUACCAAAGUGAAACAAAAAUUAAAUUAUGCGGACAGAUUUUAACUAUAUAAAACAGGAAUAGGGCUAGAUUGCAAAAUAUAAAAAGGCGGAAGGGUUAAAGCUGAAAAUAACCCAUUCUGCUUAAAAAAACAUGCCGAUCCCAACUGCAGGUUGGGUCUGACAUGGGUCAAGGGCCAAAUGACGCCGUUUUGAGGCUAUUGAAAUUAGCCCUAAACGACGUCGUUUGCAUGGCCUAUAAAUGCCAAGUUAUUAUUAUUAUUUCUUCAAUCCAUUCUCUCUAAAAAAAACACUAAAAAACCUCUCUCAAAAUCUCUCCCUCCCCUUUCAGUCUGGCCUUGGGCUCCGGCAAGCCUUUGCCGUAGCUUCGCCGUAGACGGUGGUCGGAGAUGCACAAAAUCGGGCCUUUUCAACCCUUUUUGAUCCUCUUUUCUUUUUAAAAUAAAAACCUUUAAAUCCGGUUUUGGUUUAGAAAUAAAAAAGGAAAUAAUAUGCGAAAAUACAACAACCCCAGUUGCCUUUUGAACCCUAAUCAGAACCCAUAUGGGUUCUUGGGUAUUCGGAUGCCGGCAACGUUCGAUGAAGGGGGAGACAAAUCGAAAUGUAAGAUUUUUUAAUAUUUAUUUAUUUAGUUCGAAGAAAAAAAAAACACCUUUGAUAUUUUCUGUUUCAAACUUCUUUUUUUAUUUAUUCAAAAACCCCCUUGAAUAUUACAAGAAAUCGGCCUUUAUAGCCGUUUAAAAUUACAACAUUUUUCUUUUUUAUUUUGUUUUUGGGUUACUACUGUUUCUCUGCCAUUGUUCCUGUCCUUUUCUUUGCCUUGUUUGCAGGUGCUAGGCUCGAUCAACAGGGUUGGAAAACUAUUCUGGUGCAAGUUGAGUAAAGGGGGUCAGGCCUCGGGACGAAGCGCAGGCGGUGUGCCCGAGGAGGAGUGGCGCACAUGGGAGAUAGUGUAACACCCCUUACCCGUACCCGAGGUCGGGAUAAGAUACGAGGCGUUACCGGACAAACAUACAAACAUUAAACUAAAAUACGGGCCAUAAAAUUUCAUUCAUAUUUUAAAACGUUCAUUUACUUACACAUAGUCCCUUAUUUGAGUCUACGGAGCCCAAAACAUACUUUAGAAAGGGUUCGGGACUAAACCGAGAACUUGCGAAAAUCUUGAAAAUUUCAUACUUUAAGGCUCCACAUGCCCGUGUCCCAAAGUCGUAUUCCAUACACAGUUGAGACACAUGGUCGUGUCUCUGCCUGUGUAGAGUAUACCUAGGAUAUUUUCCAAGCUUUGGUCAACCUUAAUCUCUUACACACUUAUACAAAAUCAAAAGCAUAUAACAUGGUAUUUAUUUAAUGAUUAAACACUCUCAAUUAAACCACAAACAUAGCAUUUGUAUGUCAUCAUACAUGUGUCUCUCAUACUCAUUUUACCUUGUCUAUUAUAGUACCACUGAUACAUUUAUACCAAGAUUAUCAUCUUACCAAGUAUCUUCAGCUUAAUCAUAAAGUAUUCAUAUUUAAAGCUAGAUCAUAUCUUUAUAAAAUACCACAAUUUAGAUGCUCAGAAUAACAUGUUUGCCUGAAACAUUUCAAUUCAACUCCAUACCCAACAAGCAUUACAUUGAGACUAGUCAUAUAUAUAUAUAUACAUGUCAUGAUACAUAUUAUUCUCUUUCUGUUUUCUUAUAAACACAUAUCAUUUAUUUCAUUAUAUCAAUAUUUCAUAUACCAUAGUUUCCAUGUAUUCCACAUAUAUUCAUUUUCUUCCUUCUCCUCUCCAUUCCACAUCUUUAAUGUAUAUAGCAUUCUUGUAAGUAUGAUUUCACAAUUUACUAAUAAAUGCUCACAUCAAACUGUCCACACGAGUCAUAGUCACUUACUUAUUAAUAAUUCGAGCUACAGAGAUCCAAAUUAAGAUCCGUAAAUUUCCCAUGAAACUAGACUCACAUAUAUUUCCACCAUCAAAUUUUCAUAAUUUUUGGUUUAGCAAAUUAGUACAGUUUAUUCAUUAAAAUUUCCCCUGUUUCACUUUCUGACAGUUCUGACCUCUCUUCACUAAAAAUUAAUUAUCUCACAUUACAGAACUCGAAUAAUCUUAUUGUUGAUUUAUAUUGAAAAUAGACUCAUUAGGGAUUUUAAAAAUAUAAGUUUUAGCCUCUAAUUAUUUUUCUCCAAAUUUUUGUGAUUUUCCAAAGUCAGAACAGGGGAUCACGUAGUCAUUCAGAACCAGUCUCACAAAAACAUAAAUAUCUCAAAAUAUAAAACUCCUUUGCUUUCUAUGUUUCUUUUAUAUGAAAAUAGACUUAUUAAGCUUUAAUUUGAUAUCUCAUUCAGUCUCUUAUUCAAAUUAUAUUAUUUUUAGUGAUUUUUCAAAAUCACGUCACUGCUACUGUCCAAAACAGUUUUAUUGCUAAUUCACUCUUUCACACUUUCUUUGUAUUAACCUCAUUUUAACAUACAUAUCACAAAUCAUUUUCACCACAUUUCAUACAUCAGAAGUAUAGGCCCAUGAUCACAAGAUCACCAUAAAAUCAUCCUCAUGUAUAACUUACUUGUUUAUAAUCUUACCACAUCCUGGUCACUUAAUGAACAUAUUAUUUACAUAACCAAGUUCCUGCACUUAUUCAUCACAAAACUCACAAAGCAAUACAUAGAGAGUCUCCCGUUGAACACUUCGGAAUAUAAUUCGGAUACAUGGAAAGUUUGCACAUAAGUGCCACAUAUGUAGCCAAAGUAUCUGGUAUGCAUAGUAGCCUGCACUUAGUACUACACAUGCGACCAAUUAUCCGGUACACGUAGUAGCCUGCACUUAGUACUACACACGUGACCUAACUAUCUGAUACACGUAGUAGCCUGCACUUAAUACUACACACGUGAUCGAAGUUAUCGGGUACGCAUAGUAGCCUGCACUUAGUACUACACAUGCGACCUAGCUACAUAUAUCCCGUAGCUCUCUUGUCUACAUGGUGUACACAUAGUAUCACCCAUGCGACCUAGCUACAUCAUAAUGUCUUGUAGCUCUCUUGUACACAUGAUGUGCACUUAGCACCAUACAUGUGACCUAGCUACAUACUAUCUGUAUCAUCCAAUCUUUCCAAAGGUUCAACCGGGAUUUCUCUCUCUUUUCCAACAAUUUCACCAAUCAAGUAAUUAUCCACAAACAUAUUUCCAAUAUUAUUAUAAAAUAUCAUAAUACAAGUAAUAUUGAUGUAUUACUUACAUAUAAACUUACAUCUCAUUUAAUAUCAAGGCAAUAACAUUAAAUUACACAUUGCCUUAUUAAAAAUCAUAUGAACUUACAAUUUCCCAUAAUAUCCAUAAUCAUAGAAAUCACAUUUAUGUAUGAUAAUUCGAUGCACUUCAUGUACCAUAGACAUAUUUUUAAAUCAAUUCAUAAACUUGGCACCAUAAUCAUUUAAUUUAACGUAAUUCAAUUAAUUCACUAAAUUUAACUUUCAAAUAUAAAUUACAGCAUUAUUGUUGUAUUAUUAUCAUACCAACUUACAUACUUUUAAUACCUCGGAAAUCAUAGUAAAUAUAUCAAUUUUACAUUGAAACAUGCAUAAAUUAAUGCUUAUUAUACACAUGAACUUACCUCGAUACUAAAACGGCCAUUUAACCAACUUUCCCAAUUUUCGAUUUUUCUCAUUCUAGGUUCAAAUCUCGUUUUCCGGGAUUAUUGAGCUUGGAAAGCUUGAAAACCCUAGCCAUGGCUUCCCCUAUGAUAAUUUCGGCCUCCAUGAAAAAGAUGAGUCAAUUUUGGCUUUAUUUUCCCUUUUUAUUUCUUUUAAUUACCAAAUGACCAAAAUGCCCUUCCUUACUAAACUUUCAAAAAUUCCAUCCAUGUCCAAUUUUUGUCCAUCACUUAGAAAUUGGUCAAAUUGCUAUUUAAGACCUCCUAAUUAAUAUUUCAAAGCAAUUUCAUACUAGAAACUUCAAGAAUGCAAGUUUUGCAACUUAUUCAAUUUAGUCCCUAACUUCAAAUUGAGCACUUUAUGCAUAGAAUUUCUUCACGAAAUUUUCACACAAUCAUGCAAUCAUAUCAUAGAACUCAAAAUAAUCAUAAAAUAAUUAUUUCUAUCUCGAUUUUUGUGGUCCUGAAACCUCUGUUCCAACUAGACCUAAUUUUGGGCUAUUACAGAUAGGGUUUCUACUUCUGCUGAAAUUGUUUAAUCAUGUGGGCUUGUAAUUUUUGGGCUAGUUUUUUAUUUCGGGCUUGAAUAUUUGGGUAGUGGAUUUUUUUUAAAAAAUUUGGACUCUUUAAUUUUGGGCUUUUAUUUGGUUUUGGGCCAAGGCAAAUUGGGCCUACUACAGUCGUUAACGAAAAAAAAUAGGAUUUGUGGACUCAAUGAUGAAAAUGGAAGAUGGGUAGAGGAGGAUAGGGAGCUUGUCGAAGUAGCGUCAAAAUACUGUCAUGAACUAUUUCAGUCAACGAUAAUAGAUAAUUUGCGAUGGGAUUUUAGAUAGUAUUAAGCCAUGCAUUACAACAGGAAUGAAUGAGGAAUUAAUACCUGAUUUUUAAAAAGAGGAGAUAGUUGAAGCCGUUAAGUUGAUGGCUCUAUAAAAAUCAUCAGGUAAAGACAGUUUUCCUGAAUUCUUUUAUCAACAAUACUGGCACAUUAUUGGAGAAGAUAUUAGUAGUUAUGUCUUAGAGGUCUUAAGGGGGAUACGGGACAUUAGGGACAUUAACAGGACAAAUAUUGUCCUAAUCCCUAAAGUUAAUUCACCACAUAGUAUGAAUCAGUUUAGGCCAAUUAGUUUGUGUAACGUUAUAUACAAAAUUAUCUCGAAAGUUUUGGUCAAUAGAUUUAGGAAGGUACUAUAUUUUUGCAUUGAUGAGUACUAGGGUGCUUUCAUGCUAGGAAGACAAAUUAUAGAUAAUAUCUUGGUAGCAUAUGAAAUUCUGGACUCAUUCAGAAAAAAAAAAUAAAGGUUUGAUAAGGUCAUUUUCUUUAAAGCUUGAUAUGAGCAAAACUUAUAAUAGGGUGGAGUGGAGUUACAUGGAGAAAGUUAUGUAUCGUAUGAGUUUUUGUAGAUAGUGGAUUGAGAUAAUAAUGUGAUGUGUCACAUCAAUAACUUAUGCUAUGGUGUUAAAUGGAAUACAGGGAGGGAAAUUUCAGCCUAGCAGGGGAUUGUGACAAGAAGAUCCCUUAAGCCUUUAUAUUUUUAUCAUUUGUGCUAAGGGGUUCUCUAAACUGAUAGCAAGGGCAAAAAAUGAGGGUUUUAUUAGAGGGGUAAAAAUAGGAAGGAUUGUUUUGGCAAUUACACAUUUUUUUUAUUUUUUAUUUUUGUAGAUGAUAGUAUCUUAUUUGGUGAAGUGAUAGAAGUAGGGGCAAGAGUAAUAAAGGAGGUAGUUUCAAACUAUGAAAAGUCGUUAGGCUAGUUAGUUAAUUUUGAUAAGUCAUUAAUUUAUUUUAGCAAUAACACAAGUGUCGGUAAUAGAGAACAAGUAGCAAGAGUUUUUGGGGUUAGGAUUGCUAAUAACCCAAAAAAGUAUAUUGGGCUAUCGAAAAUGGUUGAGAGACGUAAGAGGCAUGCUUUUGUUGGGAUUAAAGAACCCAUGGUGAGGAAAGUUGAAAGCUGGAAUACUAGAUUUGUUUCAAUUGGCGAGAAGGAAGUAUUAGUUAAGGCAGUACUACAAGCAAUGCCAAUAUAUGCCAUGCAAUGUUUUAUGUUACCAGACUCCUUUUGUCAUGAGUUAGAACACAUGUUAAAUAGAUUUUGGUGGAGAAGUACAACUACAAAUAAGGGUAUCCACUGGUGUAGUUGGAAAUUUAUGUGUUCAGAAAAGUCACAAGGGGGAUUGGGAUUCAGGACUUUAUCUGAUUUUAAUAUAACCUUAUUAGCCAAACAAGGGUGGGGAUUAAUUACGAGUCUAGAUUGUUUACUUGCUCAAGUUUCAAAGGCCAAAUCUUACUCAAGUUACGUGGCGCAGUAGUUGGCAGGCCCGUGCACUUUUAGAGAGAGGACUGGGAUGGAAUGUGAGAAAUGGUUCUUCAAUCAAUAUAUGGAAUGACACAUGGUUUCCUGGACUUGGAGAAGGAAGAAUUGAGGGUCAGAACAUGGAUAUUAAUUUCACAAAGGUCAUGAAUCUGAUUGACUUAAAUACGUUCACCUGGAAGGAGUUAGUAUUUCGAACUUUAUAUACUGACGAGCAAGUGAAGCGAGUUUUGGAUAUCUCACUUGUUGACCAAAGUUAGCCGGAUGUAUUGGUUUGGAAAAGUGUCAAUAUAGGUAUUUACAUAGUUAAAAACGGGUACAAGUGGCUCAUUACGGAGGGAUUACAAUCGAUAGCAGGAAACCCCACUUCACAGCAAAAUGAACUACAAGGCUACUACACAAAACCAUUGAAACUAAGGGUCCGUUUGUUUACAUGUAAAAGGUUUUACGAAAAAUAUUUUCUGCAUUUUACUGUGUUUGUUUCACAUAAAAUAGUUUGGUCAACGGAAAAUGACUUACAAGUCAAGGUAAAAUAAGCCCUUUUUCCUGUAAAAUGACUUACCAUUUCGAAAAGCGUAAGUCAUUUUCCGGAAAAGAGCUCAUCUAUAGAUUAUUUUAUUUUUAUAUAAAAAUUAACUUAAAUCAAGCUUAAUAUUAUUAUAUUAAUAAUAAAUUUUAUUUUUAUUUUUAAAAAUAUUUAAAACAUUAUAUUUUUUAAUAUUAUUAAACAUACAUAUUUAAUUAUUUAUAUUUUUUCAUAUAAUAAAUUAUUAAUAUAAUAAAUAUAAAUUAUUAUUUUAAUAAAUUAUUUAAUAUUUCAAUUUUAUUUUAAAAAUAAAUUUUAAAAAUAAUAAUAUUAUUCACAUAUUAUUGAAAAUAUUCAAUAUUAAUAUUUUAAUAAUAAAUAUUUAUUAUAAUUAUAAAUAUAUUAAUAAUAAAUAUUUUGUAGUAUAAAGGUUAAAAUAUGUCAUAAGUUUAUGUACACUUCACAAAUUUAUAAUUUAGUCGUCGGAUUUUUAUUUUCAAGAAUUUAGUCAUUUUACUUUUCAAAUUUGAAAAUUAAGUCCAAUUGUUGACAUCAUUAUUUUUUUAUCAGUUUUGUUGAUAUCACAUUUUUAAAUAAAAAAUACUCACUUAGUAGUUAUGUAAUUAAAAAAUGACAUUUUAAUAAAUCUGAAUUUAAUAUAAUAUUUUUAAUAUAUGCAAAAACAAUAUAAAAUAUAAAAUUAUAGGUAAAAACAAAUUUAAUUAAACAAUGAAAAAUAAGAAAAUCUCAAAUGUAUGUUUGUUUAAUUGAAAACAACUUUUAUGAAAUAUUUUUAAGUAAUCUACCAAAAAAACAGAAAAUAUUUUACACUAAAAAAGUAAAUUAUUUUUCAAAAAUUAUUUUUCGAAAAUUAUUUUUAAUGAAACAAACUGAGAUUAAAACUGCCAAGCAAAAUACAAAUACAUAUGUGGAAAAUUACAAAUGGCUUUAUUCAACACUGUACAACUUAAAGCAGAAAGGCCUGGUAAGAAACAAUCGAUGCCCGAUGUGCAGGAGGAGAAGGAAUCUGUGGAACAUAUAUUUCGGGAUUGUACCUUCAUAGCAAAGGUCCUUCAAGAAUUGGGUGUGGCAAACCCAACCACCAACAGAAACCAUAGUUGGAAAAAUUGGUUAGCAUCUUUCUUUCUAAACAACCAUCGUACACAAUGCAUACUGUAAGCCACGACAUACUGGGCCCUUUGGUUUAAUAGAAAUAAAAUAUACCACGAUGGCGUUAAAUCCAAUAAAACAGAGUUGAUAUCAUUCAUCAGGGCAUAUAUAAUAGAAAACGUACGAAAUGUUGGAUGGUUUGCUGAUAACAAAAUCAGUAGACAAAAAUAUAAAAUGGGAACCACCCGAUGUAGAUACUAUCAAAAUAAACUUCGAUUCUUCAUUUUAACAAAACCAGAACAGCUCAAAGUUAGGUAUUAUCACAAUAAAUAACGAGGGACUAGUAAUGGGUGCAUGUAUUUCCCCAUGUAGACACAUCACGACCCCAACAGCGGCGGAGGCAUGGGCUUGCUUGCAUGCAAUCACUUUCGGGGAAGAGUUAGGGUUUCGAGAAAUGUGUGGGGGGACUCAUUAAUGGUAAUAAGGGGAAUAGAAACAGCAGAAAGUGACAGAUUAGAUAUUAGCGCAAUAUUAAAAGCAAUAAAAAGAAAAAUCCCUAAUUUCAUAAGGAUCACUUUUCGGUACAUACCCAAAACAGCUAAUGACGUGACGCACGCGUUAGCAAGAGAGGGUCGAUGUCACGAGCUGCCAUGAUACUGGAUAGAGGAGGUCCCAGAUUAAUUAGAAGAAGUUGUUAAAUAUGACCGAGAAGAAAGUUAGAGGACAGUUUGAAAAAGGGCAUUGUAAGACUGGAAAAGGGAAAAGGCUAUUCCAAGGACUUAGUUCCAUAAGAGGUGAGAAUGAUCACACGAGCUUACAUUGACUGAUAGUGGAGAAAAGUGAUUCUCUCUAGCACUGGUGCAGGUGUUUAUUUUGGCGAAGAAGAAGAUGGAUAGUGGAAAUAGGGAGAUCUGGGUAGAUGGCAAAUUGCUUAGGUUCUAGAAAGUUUUGUUUCUGUUAGGGUUUGAUUUCAUUAAUGAUACAUCGUUUGAGUGCCAUAGAAAAGUAGGUUAAUAAAUGCGUUAAGUGGAGAUAUUAGGAGGAUUACAUCUAUUAAAGCUAUUAUUUAGGUUAUGACCUGUUUCAUUUUAUACCUCAUCAAUGCACCAAUUUGAUUUUUCAAAAAAAAAAACUUCUUGUCAUAGAAUUAAUUAUUAUAGAAUGAGUAACUCCAAAAAAUUAACUGCAUCUAACUUGCUCACUUAAUACUAAUGAGAUCUUAAGAUGAAAGUAUAAAUUCCCAAGGCACUCACACCAUUUCACAAACAGUCGCUUCGGUUACGCUUAUGUUCCUUUUAGCCAUAGUUUCUCAAUGCUUCAUUUCAGUUGCCACACUCAAUUUUCAUUAAAUCUGAAAAUUAGGAACAAUUGGGAGUUAAAUUGAAAAAAGCCAUAAGUUGAUGACCUCUACUGAAAAAUUAGGAAAAGUUAGUAAUUAAUUUGAACAUGGUUGAAAUUCAAUAUUGGUUCAGUUGGAUUAAAAUUAGCUAGUUUCUUAGUGGGAGACAAAAUGAUUAUCAACAGAUGGUUUCUAUAGGGUUGAUAACCAAGUGUGAAGGGCUAUAAAUAGCUGGGAAAUGACUACUAGAGGAGAAUUCUUCCAGCUUUUGUUUUAUUUUCUUUUCUCCUUCAUCCUCUUCUUUGGUGACUCCGAAGAAGAGAUAAUUACUAGAAGCUCUUAAUGGACGGAUGAUUAUGGAAUUUAACUCGAAAAAUUAGUAAAUUUAGUAAGCGGUAAGGUUCUCAGUCCUUCAGUGUUUGUAAAUUUAAGAAAAAUAUAAUUUAGAAUUUUCAAAACCUUUGAAGGGUUCUGCAUGUUUCUAGAAAACUGAGUUUUAAGUUGAAAUUAUUAAGUUUAACUUAAGAUUUUUGUUAUAAUACUUAGCUGCUUGGAAAAUGGAAGUUCUGGUGUUUGGAAAAGCUAAGCUUGGGAGACAAGAGACAUCAGGUGAGUUUCUAUACUCCAUCCCUAGAAAUGUUGAAUGGCUAGAAUGAUUCUGUAUUAAGUACUGUAAUAAUGUAUAAACUCUGCUGAUUGUGAAUGUUAAGUAUGCAUAAGAUCAUUUUUGUUUAUGGGUAUCUGCCAAGAUAGUUAAAUGUGCAUGAAAUAGUUAUGAUUCCAUGUUUAAAAAGAUAGCAUACUCCAUGAUAAUAAAUAAAUGAAAUGCUUGUAUUGCAUGAUUAUAAUGGUGGGGUAUGGGAGGGAGAUUAUUGACGGGUUAGAUGGGGUUAGGAUUUGGGGAAAUAGUUUUUUUUGUAUACCGCCAUACGGUGUUGUUGGAUGCAAAUCAUGAUAUGUGAAGCUCUGGGCCUUGCGGAGGGAACAUUGCGAUGCUCGAGCAUCAAGGAACCAAUGGCAAAUUGGAGGUAUGGGAGGAUGAAUAGAAAAAUGGAAUUUCGUUAAGAUUCUAUCAUACGGUGUUGUUGGGUGCAAACCAUGAUGUGCAAAGCUCCUAACUUGCAGAGGGGACACUGUGGUGUUCGAGCGUCAAGAUUAAAUGUUAAGUGGAAUGAUAUUGAUUGGUUUUUCGGGGUGACACCGUGACAACAAUUAUUAGGUUCCAUAGAGCAACACCGCGGCGACGCCAACAGACUCUAUAGGAAAACACCACGAUGAUAGUAAAGUUCUACGGGGCGACUCCUCAAAAGAGGUUUAAUGUGUAAGACGACAACUUGACUAUGACAAAGAAUAGAGUCCACUGGGAUAUUAAACACGGGGUAAUCCGCCAAGAAACAUGAUAUUAUAUUGUGUAACACCAUAGCUCGACUAUGGCAACAUAUGGAGUUUGUUAGGACAUUAAACAUGGGGUAGUCUGCCUGGACGUUAAACAUGGGGUUAUAUUAUGUAAGACCAUAUCUUGGCUAUGAAAACAUAUGGAGUUCGUUGGAAAAAUAAACAUGAGAUAGUCCAUUGAGACAAUAAAAGUAGGAACAUCUGCUGGGACAUUAAACAUGUGGAUUACAGGUAUAAUAUCAUAGCUCAACUAUGACAACAUAUGGAGUCUGCCAAGACUGUGAAUAUGGAAAGACACGCAAACGAGGAGAUUUUCAAAUAUUGGCAAGUGAUAGCCAACCAUCGAAUUUGAGGAAUUCACUAAAAAGGAACAAAAGUAAUAGAAAUGGUAAAAGUCCAUUCAACGGUAAAUAAGGAGGUCGAUAGGACGUAUGGUGAUAACCCAACUAGGAUCGAUUAGGGGAAUGAUGUGUCGUUAAUGCCUUGUAUAUAGAUAUUGGAAGGGGAUUUAUCCGUAGAUCACAGGCAAAGAUCCACCAUUGAGAACUGCCAAAAGCUGCUCAAAGAAGUUAUUCAUGUUUUAGUAAGACCUUGGAAGGUCAUUGGGAGAUUCGUUCCCAAUAUAAGGCUCAUUGAAAUCGUAGUUUAUGAGAGGAGGAUUAAUCAUUUGUACUUCGAAUAGACUAAUCACCAAAGAAGGGUUAGUUAGAACCCAAUGACAAAGAGAAGUGAUAAAAAAUAUAAACCGAGUGACAAAUAUGUCUAUCAAGACGAUUCCUCUUUAAUGGGAAACUAUUGAGAAAGAAUCAGCCAAAGGACUAGUUCCGUAGGGACCAUCAUAUAAGAGAAAUCGUAAGCUCGAUCAACAGCUCAUAAAAUAAUUUAUUGGAACUGAAGAAUUAAGCAGUCCAAAGUAGAUAGACAUGUUACAACCUGGAUGCAAGGUAACUAAAAUAAGAUGGAUUACAUGGAAGCAACUUGACAAUAUUUUGACCGAGUGAAAAAUCGAAGUAGGAAAAAUGGAAUAAGGUUAAGUCCAUCGAAAUGGUAUGGAAUUUUUCUAAUAAUCUUAUUAGGGGAGUAUCAACGAUUAUGCCGAUAUUCUAUGAAAUAAGAGAAUCGACAGCAAAGACACCACGUAAUAAGAGUUUUAUCAAAGAAGGUGUUAUGGGAAUCCGCAAGAAUGAUAAAAUAUCUGAGAAUCACCACAACAUGUUAACCGAUCAUAAACUUGACCAAGUAAAGAUUGAUAUGCUAUCGAUCCGUCAAGAAGGAAAUACGAAAGUCGUCUCGGAGCCCGCCACUCCAAAUAAAGCAUAAACAUCUAAGCCAAACAGGGAGUAGCAUGUUGUUCCCUUUUAGUUAAACCCUUAGCAAGAUGGGGUUUAGUUAUGUUUUUGUAUAUGUAUUGGUAAAGAAACUCUCUAAGUUCUUUAAACUUAUAGGAUUUUGGUCCAUGUUUGUAGGACUAUUUGGGGGGAUUGAGGAGCCCGAGAAGGCACCAAGUUAGACCUUGUUGAACCUAGUAACAUCAUUAGUGAGAUGUCAUGCACAUAGAAAGGGGUACCUUUAGAGGCUUUGCCUCGGGAUAGGAUAUAUUGUAAUUAAAUAGUUUCCUUAGAGUUUGAAAUUGGAGAUAGUAAUUUUUUAUAUUAAAGUUUCUAUUGUAAGAAUUAUUUAUUGUUACUUAAUAAAGUCAAUCUUUAAAGUCGUUAAGUUUAAAAUUUGUGUUUAAUCUAAACCGGUCCAUUUGUGGUACCCCAUACCCAAAUUCGACUAUCGGGUCAACUGAGGAUGUUACAUUAGUACUAAAGAUUAAAAUAUAGGUUGUAAUGUAACACCUCUAACCCAUAUCCGUCGCCGAAACAGGGUUAUGAAACAUUACCAAAAUUUUUAAAUCAAGUACAAACAUUUUAGUAUCAUCAUACAUUCAUACCAUAAACUAAUAAUAAUUAAUAAUACUGUCCAUUAUAUGAGCCCUCAAGGCCUAAAAUAAGCGUUAGAAACAAGUCGGGACUAAUCCAGGAACUCAAAGAAUUUUUCGCGAAAUUUCAAAAAUUUUACCUAGGUCCAGGGGACACACGCCCGUGUGGCUCACAUGACCAAGUGACACGCUCGUGUCCUAGGCUAUGUGGGCAUUCGAUAUGAGGCACAUGGCCGUGUCCCAGCCCGUGUUCAAAUUAGGGUGCUUACUGACUUGGGUUAUACGGCCAAGCCACACAUCCGUGUGCUAGGUUGUGUGAACAAUUUAAUUUGCAUUAAUUAGGUGCAAGGGUCACACGGCCAAGACACAUGCCCGUGUGCUAGGCCGUGUGCCACACACGCCUGAGACACACGCCCGUGUCUUCAUUUGUGUGAACAAUACUGAGCAUUCUAUUUUUCAAUUUUUAAGAUGUAGGGGACACACGGCCAAACCACACGCCCGUGCGCAUGGCCAUGUGUCAGUCACGGCUGAGACACACGGCCGUGUCUCUAACUGUGUGGACAAAAUAAGGCUAUUUCUAAGCCUUAUUUCUCACCCCAAAUAUAUCUUCCACCUACAUUAACACCUUGAUAAAUUCACCAUCCAAUUCAAGACAUUAAAAUCAAGCCAAAAUUAAGUCUUAAACAUGACAUAUUAUCACACAUGUUCAAGUAUUCAAACUUAUCAAGUAUUCAUUUAUGCAUAUAGGCAUAUUUUACCAAUUAUGUUAACUUCAAAAUCAUACUUCAAUAGGUUUAUAUACUUUCCACCAUAUAGUUAUUUUAAACAUACAUAUUAAACAAGCUUAGGACAUAUUAAUAUCACAAAGUAUAUCAAACACAAGCCAUACCAAUGGCUAGCAUCAACCAAACAUUUAUAUUUCAUCACUUGGCCAAUUUAACCUAUACAUGCCAUUAUAUCCAAAAUAAUAUUUGCUAUCUAUACCAAAACGAGUUGAAGGAUAAUGUGACGUUGCUCUGACCCACGUCCCAACCUUUUCGAGCUUUUGAGUACUAUAAAACAAAGGAAAUAAAACAUAGUAAGCAUUUAAUGCUUAGUAAGUUCGUAUAACAUGAAAUUUAACUUACCAUUAUUUCAUAUAUAAGGUAAGCAUACAAUACAUAUUCCAAACAACAUGUCCAAAAGCCUAACACAUAUCCUCAAAAAUAAUGUUAGUCAUAUAAACACCAAGAAACAUGUAUGAGCUCAUUAAACAUUAAAUUUCCAUGUUUAUAACUUUUCCACUCUUGUGUCCAAAUAUCAAUUUCAUAUAUUUCAUGUAUGUAUAGGUAAUAAUUCAAUUCUACCUUCAUAUUUUCUCAUGUCAGGAUUUUCCCGUUGAAUCAUUGAAAAUAUCGAUGGAUACACGGGUAGUACACACAAAGUGUACAAAUCUAAAAUUCGUCAAUUCAUAUUUGGGAAUGUUCGUACGAGCACAUAAAUGGGAAGCUCUUUCGAGCCAUAUAACAAGAAGCUUAUUCGGGCUAUAAUAGGAAGCUCAUAAGAGCCAUAAUCAGGAAGCUCGUGCGAGCAUAUAACUGGUAGCUCCGAAUAGCCAUUAAUCGAGAAGCUCCAGAUAGCCAUAUAUCGGGAAGUUCAAGCAAGCCAUAUCGGGAAGCUCUAAAGAGCCAAUUAACGGGAAGCUCACGAAGAGCAAUAACAGGACGCUCAUAAGAGCUAAGGUGUGUCCACAACACAUGUAGGAUUACAACCUAUCGAGAUACUCCGAAGAGCUAUAACAGGAAGCUCGCUAGAACCAUUUAACAGGAAUCUCAUAAGAGCUAAUAAUGGGACGCUCUUUUGAGCUAGGGUGUGUCCGCAACACAUGCGGGAACACAACCAUUUGCGAUCCCUAUAUCCAUCAUUUUUCAUUUAUUCACACGGGACUUAAUAAUUGUCGGGCAUUUUCAAAUAUGUGAUUUAUUUCAUAUACAUGACAAUCAUACAAUCACAUACAACAAUUCAAUUAUUACAUAUAAAUAUACAAUUUAGUUACACGAACUUACCUCGACACUUGUUCGUAUACGAGAAUCUGUUUCCCUUGAUCCAAUUCCGUACUAGGUCUAUCUGGAUCUAUACAAGUAAAUUUAACUCAAUUUAAUACAAUUAAUAUUCACUUCAGUCCAAUUCACAUUUUAGGCAAAAGUAUCAUUUUGCCCCUAUACUUUUGAUUAAUUCUAAUUUCAUCCUUAGACUCGGAAAAUAAAAUUCAUGAAAUUUAAUCUUCAUUCCUAGCCUAGAAAUUUCAUACAUAAUAAUAGAAAUCCCAUGAAUUCCAUAAAAUUAAGAAUUUUCUAUACAUUCAAUAUCUUUUCAAUUUAAUCCCUAAAUCAUAUUUUUUCUUCAAAAUUCUUUAAUAAAACACUUUUAAAUACCCAUCAACACCUCAAAUUCAUUAUCUAAUAACUAAAAUCAUAUGAAUUCAUCAAUGGUAACUUUCAAAAUUUUCAAUAAAAUCUGAAACAAAGGAAAAGGUUACUUGGACCUAAUUGUAACAAUCAUAAAAAACAUAAAAAUUCCAAGAAACGGGUGAGGAUUUGACUUAUAUGAAGCAAGAAUUGAAAAACCAGCUUAAACCCUCUUGAAUAUAUUUUUUUAGAACUGAAAAUGACGAUGAAAUGUCUAGAAUUCUUUAAUUUCUCAUUUAUUUCCUUUAAUUUGGAAAAAUUUCUAAUUUUGCCCUUACUUCACACCAUUUCAUCAUC
rnacentral:lncRNA from 1 species